rnacentral:tRNA from 1 species
GUGGAUAUAACUCAAGUGGUAGAGCACAUGCUUAGCACACAUGAGGUCCUGGGUUCAAUCCCCAGUACCUCCU